rnacentral:lncRNA from 1 species
AGAAGCUUUCGCCUCCGCCUUCAGACUGGCCCUCAGGCUUCCCUGCUCAGAGGCAGGGAAUUGUGCAGCUGGAGUUUCAUUUUCCAAGAGGCAGGGUCUCAGUCUGUCACCCAGGCUGGAGUACAGUGGCACCAUCUUGGCUCACUCUAGCCUCGACCUCCUGGGCUCAAGUGAGCCUCCUACCUCAGUCUCCCAAAAUGCUGGGAUUACAAGCAUGAACCACUGUGACUUGCCUUCUUGGCAAUUUUAAAUGAAAGAAGAAGAUGGAAUAAUGCCUACUGAGGACUAUGUUUGAGGGGUGUUGUAUGACCCCGUUUUCCAUACCCAGCCAACUUGUCAUGUGACAAGUCCACAGAAAGAUGUUAUAUGACAGGAAUCUAUGAACUAGUCUUCCCUGAAAUGUACCUGACUACAGCUAACAUCAUAUCACAUGAUGAAAGACCGCGUUGUUUUCCCCUGAGGUUGGCAGAAUGACUGUCUACAUAGGAAUAGCUCCUCUGCAGAGACAUCUAGAAGAUGCUGAGAUAAUAUAUGUAAAAACUGACAAGCCCUUUGGGACAGAUACCAGCAAAUGCAAGGCGUAUGCUAUGGAAGUUUUAUCAUCCUAACAGAUAAGCCCGUCCCCAACUCCAGUGAGUGACUGAGAGACACGGGCAUGAACGCUGAGCUCAGAUGACAGCAUCUUUUCACAGCAGACCUGGGCCCAGCCCCUGGAAGCACACGAUGAUGAACUGUCCUCUGGUUUCCCAAGACUUCAAAAAUGAAACCCAGUGAUCAAGAGAUGUUUGGCUUUGAACACUGCGGGAAUUAAAGCCAGCACCCAGUUAAAGCCAGUGAGGACAGCACUCCAAGCUGCAGCUGUGGGUGAUUCGGAUGGUCUGUUGGUGGAAUGUGGAGCUGGACGGGUCAAGGAGCACAGUGUGGAAAGAGGGACAAUUUGCUACAAGUUGGAGAUAAGAGACAUGGCAUACUGUGAAACCAGUGCUGACGGAAGAAGGUGACUUUCUUGGAAGGUCAAGACACUUGCUUGACAGCGAUGUCCAGGAGGGCUAGGGAGAGUUCUGCUGGAAGUGAAGGCAGCACCUGAGGGUGGCUGAGGGAACUGGUCAGGGCUGGGAACGCCUCCAGCCCUUUGAGGAAUGAUUCGCUGAUUAAGAGAUGUUUGGCCUUGAAAAUUGCAAGAAUGAAAUCUCUUGGUGGGAAUGUGUAGCCAAAAGCCAGCACCCUGAGUGGCUCCAAGGUUUGGGGACCCUCUCAAGGCACAAAUCCCAGUUCCUUUUCAAUUUUGAAAAUCGUUGUGGGCGAUUCUGGAAUUGAGAAGUGUGCUGAGAGCCAUGGAUUUAACAUGACAAGAAUUUCCGCCCCUUCGUCACUGAGCACACCGCAAAUGCUCCAGGGCCAGGGACUUACUUGGGCUUCUGCGUGUCUUCCACAGUGUGCAUCAAUCCGCCGGGCUCUGGUUGGUGUUUAAAAAAAAAGAUGCAGCGAAGGAAUCUGGUGUGGACAAACGCCCUGGGCAUGGACCAAAAGCCUGGCCCUUGUGUCCCUGGCAAUGGGACGGUGAAGGACAGAAAGACAGCACAUCCAGUAGUGUCAGGAGCUUGGAGCAGGCAUUCGGAAGCAUCUGUUAAAUGUUAUUGAUGGAGGAUUGACAUAACCCACAUCUGCAUAGCUUUUUUGGUCUGUUUUUGGAAGUGAACAGUCACAAACAAAAACAACUUUGGUUCAGGUCAUUUAUAGGCCCAGAUCCUCUAUCCUUAGAGGUUUCCCACCAGAUAUACUAUUUCACUAUCUAUGCCAGGAAAGUUACGUAAAACCACGCAGAAUUUUACCUGACAACGAAAUAGACCUUUUCGUUAGAUCCUCCACCCCACCUAAAGCAGUUACACAGGCUGAAAUGAAACUGUUAAAGGAAUGAACUAACUUGGAGAUAGAAUCAUCGCCUUUGCUGAACACCAUUUUAAGAAUAUUGGAAUAUAUAGGGGUACCAGCAUAAUAGUAAAAUGUGCCCAUAUUAUCUAUAAUUUUAUGCUGGGCACUUUUUAGAAAUUAUUUUUUAUAACUUUGUCUUUGAGAUGAUUUGGCUACAAGUUCAUUACAUUUAGUUUACAACUGGCUUUGAUUUCUUGGCAUUCGUUGUGUAUUAUUAGGAAACCCCGCAGAGAGAAAAUGUAAACUCCAAAUUGCUUUAAAAUAUUAUGAUAGUUUUUAGGGAUAUUACACUGUGACAGUGAAUGAAAUGGACGUAACGUUCUGUUUUGUAGAUAUUUUGUGAAAUCUUUAUUAGUCUUGAUUUUCUUUGGAACAAGUCAUUCCUGUUCUGGGCUGAAGCCUGAAAAUUCCCUGACCUGUGACCCUGGCCCAAGGCUCCUCUUGGAUAAAACAGUGUUUCCUGGACCAGAGGGCAAAGUCACAGAAACAUGAUGUGACGAAAUCUAAAUAGAAAGGUAUUGAUUUGUUCUUCGUUCAUCAAAUAGUUAUUGGACUCCAGCACGUAUGAGUAGCAGGGAGCCUGGCUAGCACUACACCUUCCCCUCCUGCCUCUCAGGGUCAGGGCCACAGGCACACACAGAGCGAGGGAAAAUGAGGGGGUAGAGAGGCUGGUCCCGAGUCUCCAGCCCUUCUCUCCCAAUCCUCUCCCUGAGUGGGCAGGGAACUCUUCUCUUGGCUCCUCCAACUUCCAUCAACGUCUGCCCUUGGGUCUGGUUUUAAACUCUAAGGUGUAAAUGACUCAUAAUGGCUCAACAUUUUGUCCCUCCCAAGAGGUAUUUUUAAGUCUAAGGAAUAAAGAUUUAAUAGUAAAA